GACGAACGCUGGCGGCGUGCUUAACACAUGCAAGUCGAACGGAAAGGCCCUGCUUUUGUGGGGUGCUCGAGUGGCGAACGGGGGAGUAACACGUGAGUAACCUGCCCUUCACUUUGGGAUAACUUCAGGAAACUGGGGCUAAUACCGGAUAGGAGCUCCUGCUGCAUGGUGGGGGUGGGAUAGUUUCGGCUGUUGGGGAUGGACUCGCGGCUUAUCAGCUUGUUGGUGGGGUAGUGGCUUACCAAGGCUUUGACGGGUAGCCGGCCUGAGAGGGUGACCGGGCACCAUGGGACUGAGAUACGGAGCAGAGUCCUACGGGAGGCAGCAGUGGGGAGUAUUGCACAAUGGGCCGAAGUCUGAGGCAGCAACGCCGCGUGCGGGAUGACGGCCUUCGGGUUGUGAACAGCUUUCGCCUGUGACGAAGCGUGAGUGACGGUAAUGGGUAAAGAAGCACCGGCUAACUACGUG
rnacentral:rRNA from 1 species